GUCAGUUUUUAAUAUUCUCUUUUUUCCAUUUACUAAUUUUAUUGUUUGUAUUUGGAGCACAGUUUUUAUUUUAUGUCUAUGCUGUGUGUCUUACUAUUGAGCUACAUGAUUAUAUUUUCUCUUUUACUAAUAUCAGUAGGAUGUGGAUGUUAUUUAUACAUGUCUUUUUCCUUAUUAUUUAUCAGUCUGUCUAGAGGUUAUCAAUUGUAAAAAAAUAAACCAGCUUUUAGUUUCAUCUUUUUUUCUAUUUUUUAAACUUUUAAUAUAAUUGAUUUAUUUUCUACUCUUUAUUAUUUUCUUCCUUCUAUUUGCUUUGGGUUUAAUUUGCUUUUCUUUCUCUAGUGUCCUAAUGUAAGUAUUUAAUGUUAGUAUCACAAUGAAAUCUUCAGGCAAUAUUUUCUCACUGCAUUUAUUUGUCUGAAAAAGUAUUUCACCUUCAUUGCUGAAAGAUAUUUUCUCUAGGUAUGGAGAUCUGGGUUGACAGGCUUUUUUAUUUCUUUCAAAAAUUUAAAGCUGUGAUUCCAAUAUCUUCUGACUUGUAGGCUUUCCGACGAGAAGGUGACUGUAAUUUUUGUCUUUGUUUCUCUGUAAUGUGAUGUGUCUUUUCACUGGCUGCCUUCAAAAUUGUCUUUUUAUGUUUUUCAGCCCUUUGAAUAGGAUAUGUCUAGGCAUAUGAUAUUUUUCAGUCUUGCUUUGCAAUCGCUUAGCCUCUUGAAUCUUUUUUAAAUGUCUUUCAUUAUUUUUGGAAAAUUUAUCUUUUCAAAUAUCUCUCUCGUUUUGUGCUCUCUCCUCCUUCUGGGUCUUCAAUUACAAGUAUUUAGAUGAUUUGAAAUUGUCACACAGCUUUUUGAUGCUCCGUUCUGUUUGUAUUCAUUCUUUUUUUCUCUGUCUUUAAGCUUUGGUGAUGCCUGUUGACCCAUCUUCAAGUUCAUGAUUCUUUCCUUAGCCAGGCCAAGUCCAUUGUUGAACCUGCUGAAGGAAUCCUUCAAAGGAUCUUUUAUUAUGCCCUAGGGCUGACCAGCUUUAUUUUUCUGCUUGAAGCAUUUGCUUCUCUAUGAGACAAGGGAUCAGGCAGGGAAGAAGGGUUUUUAUUUUUCCUGCAAUGGCAGCUACUCCCUCCUCCAUGCCUUCAUCAGCAGAGGAGGUCCUCCUGUCUCUUAUCCUGUUCUCUUGAACAGCCACUGGAGAUCUAUGGAAAAGAGCUUAAGAAAGGCCAUGUGAAGACACGGUGAGAAGACGGCCAUCUGAAAGUCAGGAGGAGUAUCCUCUUGAGAACUGAAUCAAGCUAGUACUUUGAUCUUGGACUUCCAGCCUCCAGAACUGCAGUGUUGGUCUGCAAGCUUCAAGAGCCAGUGACCCUGACUGCCAAGUGAUUUGCCGAAGGGAAUUAUGGUUUUGCAUUUGAUGGUUUCCAGGAACUGCUAAGAGUGAGAUCAUCCCUGAAGCAGUGACUGCCAGAGGAAGGCGAGAGACAUAUGGUGGCCUUACAGGUAUUAAGGCUGAAUUUGUCUACACAUCAAACAUGUACCUAGGAGGAAUAUUUGCUCUGUGCCAUCAGCAGUGUAGAAACUAGAAUAACCAGCUGCCGUAUUGUGAGCUGCAUUAUGAAGAGAACCAUGUGGCAAGACACUGAGGGAGAUCUCCAGCCAACAACAACUCAUAAGCAACUAAAUCUUGUGAUGAACCACUGGAGUCAUCUGGAAAGAGGAUCCUCUCACCUUCAAUCUUUGAAAUGGCUAGAGCUCUGAUGACAGUUGGAUUACAGCCUUAGGAGAAACAGAGAGCCGGGGAAAUUUGUGCCCAGGUUCCUUUCCCACAGACAUUGUCAGAUAAUAAAUAUCUCUGCGUUUUUAAGCUUCUAUGUUCUGGGAUAAUUUGUUAUGCUGCAAUAAAUAACAACCUGGAAGUGAGGUGCUGCCAUAGUAAAUAUCUAAAUAUGGAUCAUUAACUCAUGUCUAAACUAGCCUUAGAAUAAUAGCUACUCUAGACUUGUUAGCAGAACUUAAAACAAGCCUUAAGAGAACCAAGCUGAUCCAGAAAUAACAUACAUUAGCGGAUUAAAAUCCAACUUUCCUUAAAGAGUGAUAGAAAAAGUAAAAUACACAAUAUCUAACAUUCAAUCAAGAAUUACUAUUGAGAACAUGGAAAAACAUGACCCAUAAACGGGAGAAAAUUUAGUGAAUAGAAACAGAUCCCAAGAUGAUAACAAUAAUAGAAUUAAUAAACAGGACUUUGUAAACAACUAUGAUAAAUAUGCUUGACUGUUUAAAGAAAAACAUGAAAAUAAUAAUGAUGAGAGGAAUUAAAGAUAUAUAAAAGGACCAAAUAGAACAUCUAGAUUUUUAUUUAACUUAGGCACUAUAUGAAGUUAAAGAUACACUAGGCAAGACACUGUAGAAGAUAAGAUAGAUAAACUUGAAGACAUGGAUCUCAAAUUUUUCUAAACUGACUUUCUUAUGGGGACAGAAAAGACCAAGAAAAUAUGAACAGUGUCUCCUUAACUUUUUAUACUGCCUCAGUGUCUCAAUUACUUGUAAUGAUAUGAAACAGUCCAAUGUAUGUAUCACUGGAGUCCUGGAAAGAAAAUGAGGGACCAGAAAAAGGUUAAAGAAAUUCUAGCCUAAAUUAUUCCAAAAUUGGUAAAUACAACAUAUACUCACUUUGUAGAAGCUCAAUGAAUUUCAGUUGAGCUAAACAGCAAACAGACAAAAAAACAACCCCACCAAUUCUCAAAAGCAAAAACAGAAAAAGCUAUAAGCACAUCAUAAUCAAAUUAUUAAAUACUAGCAAUGAAUGAAAAUCUCUUACACAAGUCAGAAUAUAAAAUGCAAAUUAUUUAGAGAAGGAAAAAGAUAACCUAUGACAGAAAAUAAUUAAAUAACAUCUUCAGAAAACCAUGGAACACUGCUAAGAGAAAUCACACAUGACACAAAAGAAAACACAUACCAUGCUUAUGGAUGGGAAGAAUCAAUAUUGUGAAAAUAACCAUACUGGCCAAAGCAAUCUGCAGAUUCAAUGCAAUUCCCAUCAAAAUACUACCAUCAUUCUUCACAAAACUAGAAAAAACAAUCUUAAAAUUCAUAUGGGACCAGAAAAAGAGUACAUAUAGCCAAAGAAAUACUAACCAAAAAGAACAAACCUUGAAGCAUCACAUUACUGAACUUUAAAUUAUAUUACCAGGCUAUAGGUACCCAAACAGCAUGGUACUAGUAUAAAAGUAGGCACAUAGACCAAUGGAACAGAGUAGAGAACCCAGAAAUAAAGCCAAAUACUUACAGCCAACUGAUCUUCAACAAAGCAUACAAAAAUAUAAGUGGGAAAGGACACACUAUUCAACAAAUGGUGCAGGGAUAGUUGGCAAGCCACAUGUGGGAGAAUGAAACUCUAUCCUCAUCUCUCAUCUUAUGAAAAAAUAAACUCAAGAUGCAUCAAAGACUUAAAUCUGAGACCUGAAACCAUAAACAUCCUAGAAGAUAACAUUGGAAAAACUCUUCUGGACAUUGGCUUAGGGAAAGACUUCAUGACUAAGACCCCAAAAGCAAAUGCAAGAAAAACAAAAAUAAGUAGUAUCUAAUUAAACUAAAAAGCUUCUGCACAGCAGAUAGUCAGCAGAGUAAACAGACAACCACAGAGUGGGAGAAAAUAUUCACAAGCUGUGCAUCUGACAUCUGACAAAGGACUAGUAUCUAGCAUCUACAAGGGACUCAAACAAAUCAGCAAGAAAAAACAAAAACAAUCCUAUCAAAAAGUGGGCAAAGGGCACGAAUAGACGUUUCUCAAAAGAAAAUAUACAAACAGCCAACAAACAUAUGAAAAAAUGCUCAACCUCACUAAUUAUCAGGGAAAUGCAAAUUAAACCAUAAUGAGAUACCACCUUACUCCUGCAAGAAUGGCCAUAACUAAAGAGUCAAUAAACAAUAGAUAUUGGUAUGGAUGUGGUAAAUAGGGAACAUUUUCACACUGCUGGUAGGAAUGUAAAUUAGUACAAUCACUAUGGAAAGCAGUAUGGAGAUUCCUCAAGGGACUAAAAGUAAAUCUACCAUUUCAUCCAGCAAUUCCAUUACUGGGUAUCAACACAAAGGAAAAGAAGUCAUUAUAUGUAAAAGACACAUGCACAUGCAUGUUUAUAGCAACACAAUUUGCAAUUGCAAAGGUACGGAACUAACCUAAGUGCCCAUUGACCAAUGGGUGGAUAAAAAAAUGUGGUAUAUUUAUACCAUAGAAUACUAUUCGGCCAUAAAAAGGAACAAAAUAAUGUAUUUGGCAGAAACUUGGAUGGAACUGGAAGCCAUUAUUCUAAGUGAAGUAACUCAGGAAUGGAAAUCCAAAUACUGUAUGUUCUCCUUACAAUCGGUAGCUACCUUAUGAGGAUGCAAAAACAUACAGAGCAAUAUAAUGGACGUUGGGGACUCAGUGGGAGAAUUGGGGAGAGUGAGGGAUAAAAGACGACAUAUUGGAUACAGCAUACACUGCGUGUUUGAUGGGUGCACUAAAAUCACAGAAUUUACCCUAAAGAACUCAUCCAUGUAACCAAAAACUACCUGUAGCCCUAAAACUAAAGAAUUUUUUUAAAAAAUAACAUCUUCAAACUGUUAAAAGAAAAAAAAUAUCGAUCUAGAGUUCCAUACUCUGCAAAAAUGUACUUCAAAAAUAAAGACCAAAAGAAGAUUUUUAAAACAAACAAAUGCAGAAGUUGUCACUAGCAGACUUUUACUUCAGACAACAAUAAAUAGAACUCUUCAGGUGUAAGGACAAUGAUUCCAGAUGGAAACUUGGAUUUACUGAAAGUAAUAGUGUUGUGAUUGGUGAAUAUGUUACUAAAAAUAACAUUGAGUCAUUUUUUUAUUUUUAAUCUUUAUAAAAAAUGACUCUUUAAAACAAAAAUAAUAGAGUGUAUUGUGAAGUUUGUAACAUGUAUAACAUGUAUAAAAACAAAAGCACAAAUAGGAGAUGUAAUUAUAUGUAACUUUUAAUAUAUUACAUGUGAAGUUGUAUAACAUUAUUUGAAGUCAAUGUGACAAGUUAAAGAUGGACAAAUCCUAAAACCCUAGAACAACAGCUAAAAAUGAAACAAAGUGAUUGUUAUAGUGAAUCAGAGAAAAUAAAAUGGAAUAUAAAAAGCUAUCAAGAUGUCAAAAAGAGAGGGAAAGAGGAAAAAUAGCAGAGGUAUAAAUACACAACAAAUAACAAAGUAAUAGCUUUAAUCUCAAUGAUAUCUGUAAAUUAGAUGAAGGAAAAUGGAAUAAAGGCUGCAAUUAAAAGGAAGAGAUUUCCAUGCUGGAUAAAAUUGCAAGACCCAAUUAUAUGCUGGCCACAAGAUACAUGUUUCAAAUAUCAAGGCACAUAUAGGUUAGUUAAAAAAUAUAAAAUUCAUAUAUAUUUUCAGCAUGUAUCUAUGUAUCCCUAAUUGUGUAUGCCCCUAAUAAUAGAACUUCAAAAUGCAUGAAGCAAAAGGUGACUGUACUGAAAACACCAUUAAAAAUACACAGUUAUUUGUGGAGAUUCAACAAUUCUCUCUCAGUAAUUGGCAGAACAAGUCAAUGUUAAAAAUCAAUAAAAGUAAAGAAGGUUUGAUCGAUGUAAGUUAAUUGAUAUUUGUGGAAUUUUCUAUUCAGCAACAGAAGAAUAUACAUUCUUCUCAAUUGCAGACGGUCCACCCACCAAGAUGGACCCUGUACUGUUCUGUAAAACAUGUUUUAAGAAAGUUAAAAGACUGAAACUGUACAAAUUAUGUUCUGCACAUAAUAGAAAUUAUAUUCUAUAUGUGAUAAAAUUUAAUUUUAAAUUAACAGCAGAAAGGUAUCUAGAAAAUUCCCAAAUACUCUAACAUUAAUCAGUAUACUUCUAAAUAAUCACAAGUCAAGGGAGAUUCACAAAGAUAGUAUGAAGUAUUUUGAAUUGAAUAAAAGAAAAACAUACAAUGUCAAAUUUGUAAGAUAUAGCUAAAACAAUGCUUAGAGGGACAUUUAAGGCUUUAAAUGAUUAUAUUAGAGAAAAAGAAAGGUCUACAAUAUUCUAUAUUGACAUCUAAAGAAAUGAGACAAAGAAAAGAAAAAUCAAAUUCGAAGUUACUGGAAUAAAGAAAUAAGAUAAAAAGAAACAGACAAAACAACAAAAAAGAAAUGAAAAGGUGAGUGUAGAAAUUAAUGAAAUAGAAAACAAGUAAAUAAUGAAGUCAGUUAUGCCAAAUAAUUUUUUAAAAGCUUAAAAUAAAUUUCUGGUUAGACUGGUAAAAACAAAAGAGUGAAAAUACAAAUUAUUAGUAUCAAAAAGACAAGAAAGAGCAUUACUUCAGAUCUUGCAGCUAUUAACAAGACUCUAAGAAAAUAUUAUGAGUAACUAUGUCAAUAGUUUUGACAAAUUAGAGAAAAUUUUAAAAUUAUUGGAAAGACAAAUUAUCAAAAUGGAUAAAUCUCUAAAUAAUUUAUACAAAAGGAUUAAUAUAUUCUGUAUUAAAUUUUGUCAUGAAAAAAUGGUAAAAAGUUGAAGCCUUUUUGGCACUGAUAUCUGUAAGUUACUAGUUUAAGAUUACACUUUCUAACUGUGUUAGUCCACUCUCACACUGCUCACACUUUUAUUAAGAACUAUCUGAGACUGGGUAAUUUAUAAAGAAAAGAGAUUUAAUUGACUCGUAGUUCUGCAUGACUGGAGAGCCUCAGGAAACUUACAAUCAAGGCAGAAGAAGGAGAAGCAAGCAUGUCUUUACCAUGGCAGAUCAGGAAAGAGAGAGAGUAGAGGGAGAAGUGCCAGACACUUUCAAACAACCAGAUCUUGUGCUAACUCACUCACUAUCACGAGCACAGCAAGGGGAUAGUCCACCCCCAUGAUUCAGUUACCUCCCACCAAGCCCCUCUCCUGACAUGUUGGGAUUACAAUUCGAGAUGAGAUUUGGGUGGGGACACAGAGCCAAACCAUAUCACUAACUUUGUAGGUGAAAUAAUGCAUAUGUUGUUAUAUACAUAAUUGAUACUCAAUAUCAUUGUUUACUAGGGACUAUAAAGUAUAGCUAUUAUAGGAUACCAGUACACAGCUAAUAGAAUAGUUGCAAUUAAAAAGACUGACAAUAGCAAGUAUUGGAGAGUAUAUGGCACAACUGUGACUCUCAUACGUUCCUGGUGGAUGGUAACGUGGUACAGCCAGGAUGGAAAACAAUCGGUGAUCUAUGCUUGCCAUGUGAUCCAUCCAUUCCACUCCUAAGUAUUUAUCCAAUAGAGAUGACAAUAUGUGUUUGCACAAGUGUUUCAGCCCAGAACUGGAAACCAACAGGUGGAUGGAUUAAGUGCUUUAUUCAUAUUAGUUCCAAAAUGGAAACAGGGCAAAUAUCUAUCAAGUGAAUAUAUAAACAAACUGUUGUACAUGCAAUGGAUAAAUAUAUUGUGGUGCAUAUAAUGGAAUAUUAUUUAUAAAUAAAAAGAGAAUAAACUUCUGAUACAUGCAACAUGCAUAUAUCUCAACACGCAUAAAAAUGUUUUGCUGAGAGAAAGAAGCCUGAUGCAAAUGAGUAUACAGUAUUGAAAUUCAAUUGUAUGAAAUUCUAUAACAUGUAAGUCUAAUCUUUAGUGACAGAAAGAAGAUCAUUGUUUACUGGAGCCAGGGUUGCAACAUAGGGAUACUUACUGCAAAAGGGCUCAAGGGACAUGUUCUGUUUCUUGAUUGUGUUGUAUCCAGUGUCAAAAGCAAUCAAUAUGUAUGCUUAAAAUGCAUGCACUUUAUUGUGUAUAAAAUAUGGCUUAAUAGAGUUGACAGAAAACUUUUUUUAAAAUAGAAAAAGAACAAGUUCCUGGAAUAUUUUCUUAGUAUUCAAAUGUUUUAAUACAUUGGAAAAUAAGACAAAAACUUUAAGAAAUUAAAGAAUACAAAAUCUAUAUUCUAUAAACAAGACAUAAAAACCCUAAAUAUAUUUGUGUUUAUGUUAUAUUAAACAUAAGGAUCAGUAUGUGUUUACUUUUCCAUAAUCAAAUACCAUAUAGAAAAAUGAAAAUUUAGUAAAUAUGACUUUCUCUUCUUAGUAAAAAAGAUGCAAGGAAUAAAGGAAAUAAAGAGAAGGAAGUGAGAGAAAAUGAGUGGAAAAAAACGAGGUGGUUUUGGGUUAUAUGGUCACAGUGUCUAACAUAGAUGCUAUAGUGCUCAAAAAUCCUUGAAUUUGCGGGCAAUAAAAAGAAAAAUCAUUGCUUGGGUCAGUGGCCUAAAGUAAAACAUUGAUUUUCAAAUUUUGUUAUGUUGUCUGGGGACUAUACCUAAAAUUGCUUGUAUAAGUCUCAUGUAUCCCUUUGCUGUAG
rnacentral:lncRNA from 10 species